rnacentral:lncRNA from 1 species
AGGGCGCCAGUUCUCUUUCAGAAGCGGGAGAAGUUCAGGUGCCCAACACCUUGAUCAGUGCCUGCUUUGUAGUAGGCAUUCAAAUACUGUGGACUGGAUGAAUGGAGUCACUUCCCUUCCAACCUGCACACCAACGUGGUUGAACUGCCUCCUUUCUAAGUGCCAAAGUCUGUUUUACAAGGCUGUAAGUGAAAUCACUGACAUGGAAAUUAUAUUUUCAAAAUUAAAGGAACAAUUUUCUAAACCCUGCUGUGCCCAUCUGGGCACCCAGUCCAGCCUCCCUUCCUGGGCGCCUUGACUCCCAACUGCAGAUGAAGUGUCUGGAAAUCAUGGUACUCAAGGUAGGAUCCACAUUGCCUGCCGGCCUAGGACCAAGAUCUGCAAGUCAGAACGAAACACCAGCUGUCCCUGUCUCCUGCACCCAUCCCCAUCCCGGAUAUCAAAGGAGCAUUACAAAAUAUUGUCUAACAGAAGUACCAGGGCUGGAUCCCAAAGUUUUGUGUAGAUCUUGAUAAAGAGUUUGGAUUUUAUUCUAACAAGAGUGAAGAGCAUGACAAUGUUUGCAGAAGAGUGAUGGCUUCUUUCAGGCAACAGUGACAAUUACACCUCCUCUUUUUCUCUUUGAUCCUCCACCCUCUCCCUCCAGCACCUGGUACAAAGCUGGGUACCCAGCAGACACUCUGUAAAUUAAAGUGCUGCCAGCCUGAACAAUCUCAG